rnacentral:lncRNA from 1 species
AGAUUACUUUCUUACUUUUUCUAGGGUGUAGUUUCCAUCUUUGUAUUAGUGUUUUUCCUUUAUUAUCCUUUGAAGGGCUUGAUUCAUGGAAAGAUAUUUUGUGAAUUUGGUUUUGUCAUGGAAUACUUUGGUUUCUCCAUCUUUGGUAAUUGAGAGUUUUGUUGGGCAUAGUAGACUUUGCUGGCAUUUGUGCACUUAGUGUCUGUAUAACAUCUGUCCAGGAUCUUCUGGCUUUCAUAGUCUCAGGUGAGAAGUCUUGUGUAAUUCUUAUAGGCCUGCCUUUAUAUGUUACUUGACCUUUUUCCCUUACUGCUUUUAAUAUUCUAUCUUUAUUUAGUGCAUUUGUUGUUCUGAUUAUUAUGUGUCAGGAAGAAUUUCUUUUCUGGUCCAGUCUAUUUGGAGUUUUGUAGGCUUCUUGUAUAUUCAUGGGCAUCUCUUUCUUUAGGUACGGGAAGUUUUCUUCUAUAAUUUUGUUGAAGAUAUUUGCUGGCCUUUUAAUUUGAAAGUCUUCUCAUCUAUUCCUAUAAUCUGUAGGUUUGGUCUUCUCAUUGCAUCCUGGAUUUCCUGGAUGUUUUGAAUUAGGAUCUUCUUGCAUUUUGCAUUUUCUUUGAAUGUUGUGUCCAUGAUCCCUAUAAAAUCUUCUGCAUCUGAGAUUCUCUGUUCCAUCUCUUGUAUUCUGUUGCUGAUGCUCACAUCUAUGGUUUCUGAUUUCUUACCUAGUGUUUCUAUCUCCAGAGUUGUCUCCCUUUGGGUUUUCUUCAAUGUUUCUAUUUCCAUUUUUAGAUCUUGCAUGUUUUUUUUUUUCAGUUCCAUCUCCUGUUUGGUUGUGUUUUCCUGUAAUUCUUUAAGGUUUUUGUGUGUAUGUGUGUGUGUGUUUCUUCUAUCUGUUUAGCAUUGUUUGCCUCUAGUUCUUGAAGGGCUUCUCCCUGUUUAGCAGUGUUCUCCUGUAAUUCCUUGAGGGAUUUUUGUGCUUCCUCUUUAAGGGCUUCUACCUGUUUAGCAGUAAACAGUAUUUGUUUAACUAAAUUAUUAAUGUCCUUCUUAAAAUCUUCUACCACCAUCAUGAGAUAUGAUUUUAAACCUGUGUCUUACUUUUCAGGUGUGUUGGGGGUAUCCAGGACUUGCUGUGGUGGGCGUACUGGGUUCUGAUGAUGUCCAGUAUUCUUGGUUUCUGUUAGUAAGAUUCUUAGGUUUGCUUUUCGACAUCUGGUAGUCUCUUGUGUUAAUGUUCAAACUGUCUCUGGCUGGAGCUUGUUCCUCCUGUGAUUCUGUUAGUCUCUGUCAGCACUCCUAGGAGUCCAACUCUCACCUGAGUUCCAGUGGUCAGUGCACUCUCUGCAGGCAAGCUUUCAUCUUGCAGGGCAGGUUUCCAGAAAUCUGGAGCUCUGAUCCACCUCUUGAGUCCUAGGGUCAGAGCCCUGACUGUAGGCCAACUCUCCUCUGGCAAGGAAGGUGCCCAGGGGUCUGGAUUUGGCUGAGGAUGAAGGCCAAAGAAGCUCUGUUGCUCUCAGGUGAUCAUGAGGUCCUGGGUGUGCUAGGGUUCCUGUGGAAUGGAGAGUCGUCUGUGGCCCCAGAUGACCUCAGCUGGGUUCAUGCAGAAAAUGGCUUGGCUGGCCCCGGCCUGAAUGGAUUCCAGCCUCUGGUUGGGCAGGGCUCCUCUGUCCCUGCCCCAGCUGGCUGGCACUAGACCCUCCUUGCCUCUCUGGAGCUGAUGUUGCACUCUACUCACCUGUGAUUCUGAGGUGAUCCGGAGGACCUGUGUCUUGGCGAGUACUCUGGAGCCCCCAGUGAACUCUGCUGGGUUUCGAAGGAAGAUGGCAGGGGUGACCCCUACCAGAAAGUAUCCUCUGGUUGGUCGGGGUUCUCUUGUCCCUGCUCCUGCUGGCACAAGACCCUCAAUGAUUCUUUGGAGCUCAUGUUGCUGUCCACUCACCUAUGAUCCCAGAGGAGAUCCUGAGGAUCCAUGAUCCAGAGGUGAUUCCAGGUCCUGAGGCAUGGAGAGUACUCUGGAGCAUGUCAUUAACUUUUCUUUGUAAUGUUCUUAAAGAUUGAAGCUUUGAAUUAGAUAUUUUCAUAUUUCCAUGACAAUUGUACUGGUGGGAGGUUGAAAGUUUUUGAAAAAAAAAAGAAGAAAAGCAAUAUAUUGAUUAUCAUCACCAUCACCACCACCACUAUCGUCUUUUGGAGUUGGAACGUUUUCUUCUACAUUUUCAUUUAAGACUCUUGGUAUUAGGAUAGAACAAGAACCCAUUUGAUCGAACUCAAGCAGUAGAGGAUGUCUGUCAUAAAAUAUGAAUGUUUUUCAGACUGUUGACCAGGUAGACCAAGCAAGCAAGGGACAAUUUUUUUUUCUCAUUUUUAUUAGUUCUCUGAGAACUUCAUACAUGGUAUUUUAUUGAUAUUCACCCCCAACUUCUCUGCAACCUAGACUUCUUUACAGUUUUUAAACCUCUUGCCUGUACAAAGCCCUCUCAAGUAAUCCCAAUUCUGCCUCUGUUCAUUGGCAGCCUUCCCUCUGUUGUUACAGUGUUUUCUCUGUGCCAAGUGGGUCCCUUAUUCACUGUCAUGCUUUUCCUUUACAAUCUAGAUGGAAGAAAAUGCCCUUCUUUUCCAGUGCAUGCUUACUUCCAAGUUUGCUGAGCAAAACCCAAGAGAAGAUCUAGGGUUAGUACAAAUCAAGGCAUUUAUUCUCUUUGAACUUCAGAGAAUGUGUGAGUUCCAUAAUGGCAAGUCCUGGAUCCAGGAGCAGCAGAGAUAGGUGGUUUUCCUAGAAACUGAAUAGGCAUUUUUGUAUAGGUCAUCGACAGUAGAUGUCUGAGAUGGAUUAAUUGACAUAUCCUUGCCAUUUUUGGAGCUCUUGUCAUUCAUCUACCUUUCCAUCCCUUCUAUAGCUUCAGCUAUCCUACUAUUGUAUACUCAUUUCCUUUCCUAUUUUCAUUCCAACUUCCCUUUUGUUUGUCAUUUUCCUCAUCACCUCUUGGUAUACUUGGAUUGCACAGUGUCUGUACGUCAGACUUGUGACUGUCUGGUGAAUGCUAUCUCACAUGCAAACUGAAAGUCAGUGGAGAAAGGGGCAAUGAGGUAGUUAUUUAUGUACUGAUUAUAUGACAAUUUAUGUACUGAUUAUAUGACAAAAACAAAGUGUAGAUUAAGUAAAUCUCAUAGCUUGGAGAAAGCAUACCCAGAUGUUGAAUGUUGGUCUUGUGCAGUAAUUUGGGCCUUUAGCUAUACAUUGUUUUUCAAGGUGAAGACAUAGAGAAAUAGAUAACCUUUUUGUUCCAUUUUCUCAAUAAAUCACUUCACUGACAGAGGCAUCUUCGUGGUACCACAUUUUUUUUAAAAGUGAGGGAAUUAUAGAUCUGCUUGUUUCUAUAAUUAGUCAUAUACUUCAUUAAAAUAUCUGAAAUAUUACUAAAAAUG